rnacentral:rRNA from 1 species
UACGUAGGGGGCAAGCGUUGUCCGGAUUCAUUGGGCGUAAAGAGCGUGUAGGCGGCCAGGUAGGUCCGCUGUGAAAACUCGAGGCUCAACCUCGAGAUGUCGGCGGAAACCAUCUGGCUAGAGUCCGGAAGAGGAGAGUGGGAAUUCCCGGUCGUAGCGGUGAAAUGCGCAGAUAUCAGGAAGAACACCCGUGGCGAAGGCGGCUCUCUGGGACGGUACUGACGCUGAGACGCGAAAGCGUGGGGAGCGAACAGG